UAAUUUAUUUAUUUAGCCGUUCAUUAACAAGUCCUGUGCUUUAUAAUAUAUUAAAAAAUGGAAGGACGUGAAGAAAACAGGUUUGUAAAUGAUGUUGUACAUCAUGCAGAUAGCUCAGAAGAAGAAGUAAGUUUUUUUUUUAAUUACAAAAGUAAAUAUAUAAUAUAAUAUUUGUUGCUGCCUUGUUCUAUAUAAAUGUUUCUAACAUGCAGGUAACAUUUAUAUAUGUAUUAGUUUGAAUAAAUCAUUUUAAUAAAGUUACAUUAUAGGCAGGAAUGUUUGACUGGAAAUAUAAACGAUGUUGUACAUAAUGCAGAUAGCUUAGGCAAAAAAGAGAUUGGUGAAAUGGAGAAUGAGACUAACUAGGGUGAAAAAAAAUGAAUAUUAAUAUGUGAAUGGUACUUUGUUUAACAUCUACCUGUUUCUACAGAUACAGUACAGACGCAUUUAUAAAUGGGCUUGAUGUUUUUUUGAAUUAAAUAUGUUGUAUUGAUGGUUCUUUUUAACUUGUUAAAACUUGAAGUUAUUAUCAAAUUUAUAUAUACUAUUUUUAUCAAAUAGUUAAUAUAAAAUAAUAAACAUGUAAAUUGUUUUAUUUUUUGUAAAAAUUGUUUUCUUGAUAAAUUUCAAUUGUUUAUCACUAUGUAUAUCACUUAUAGUAUUAUAUUACUUGUAA